rnacentral:rRNA from 1 species
GGGAGUGAAAUAGAACCUGAAACCCUGCACUUACAAGCUGUGGAAGCACAUUUCUUGUGUGACCGCGUACUUUUUGUAGAACGGGCCAACGAGUUACGGUAAGUAGCAAGGUUAAGCACUUAAGGUGUGGAGCCGUAGCGAAAGCGAGUUUUAACUGAGCGUUCAGUUACUUGACGUAGACCCGAAACCGGGCGACCUACCCAUGAGCAGGAUGAAGCGAAAGUAAAAUUUCGUGGAGGUCCGAACCCACGAGCGUUGAAAAGCUCGGGGAUGACUUGUGGGUAGCGGUGAAAUUCCAAUCGAGCCCGGAGAUAGCUGGUUCUCCCCGAAAUAGCUUUAGGGCUAGCCUCAAGGUGAGAGAUACGGAGGUAGAGCACUGAAUGUCCUAGGGGGUAUUGCACCUACCGAAG